GACCGGGUUGAGUGGUCUUGCCAUUGGCUUGCACUGCCGGCCUGGUCUUUCCUUCUGGGGAACUUGCGUGCACUUUACUGUGUGUGCUUGGGAUCCAGGACUUUUACUUUGAAAAAAUUAGAGUGUUUAAAGCAGGCCUACGCUUGAAUACAUUAGCAUGGAAUAAUAGAAUAGGACUUU
rnacentral:rRNA from 1 species